GCCUGGUAGGGCUCACAGUCCAGCGCCACGCUGCUAACCUGAGGGUCCUGGGUUCAAGUCCCUGUUCAGGCG